AUUAAUGGAUCUAUUCUUGAUGUCUUUGAAAGAGUGAUGCUCUUACUGAUUUUUUUAUUUUAUUUUUUGUUUUUUCAUGAUAAACCCUAAUUUUUAUGCAAUUGCAGGAGUCUGAAUCUUCUUCGAACACAAGAGGUGAUGAGCUUCUUUCAGACUCCUUCCCCUACAAGGAACUCUUGAAUGGGAUCCUAUGAGAAGUUGAAGGAAAGUGAUUAAUAUCCGCUUGAGUAACCCAAUCUGAGUCUGAU